rnacentral:siRNA from 1 species
UUACUUUAGGUGAACUGGUC